rnacentral:lncRNA from 1 species
UGGCCAUGAAAGUAUAUUUCAAUUUCAUUAUUUGAGAUAAUGGAUGGUUAAUCUAUGAGAUAUUUGGUUUUCCUCAUGAAAAUUUUUGAUCUCUUGUUCAUGUGGUGUUUAUGGUCAUUGUUUUUGUUUUUCUAGUAUACUCAUAUUACUUUUAUAGCAGAAAGAGGUUAAUGCCAUCACCCUAGGUAGGAACAUAUAAUUUUUUUCCUUUUAACUUGCCUUAUCUUAUGCAUCAUAUUAGGACUCCAAAACUGCAUUAAGGCUUAUAGCUGAAUCUAUUAAUGUGUAGCUUGCAUAGAGAAGCUUGUGAGAGGUCAUACUCAGAACCCAGUUCAUGCCUAUCAGCUAUACAUGCUUAUCAAGAUUUUAUCAUCAGCAUAGCCUAGGUCGUACGCAAACACUACACUUCUGUACCUU